UAUUUAGAACUGGGAGGUCUGGGGGAACGUGUGCUAGGCUUCUGCUUUUUGAAUCUGCCUAGCAGCUUCUCCAAGGGAUUCCCAUUUAAUACAGAUGAAAUAAAUUUCCCCAUGGACAACCUUUGUUUUGUGGGCCUCAUAUCCAUGAUUGACCCUCCCCGAGCUGCAGUGCCUGAUGCUGUGAGCAAGUGUCGCAGCGCAGGAAUUAAGGUGAUCAUGGUAACAGGAGAUCAUCCCAUUACAGCUAAGGCCAUUGCCAAGGGUGUGGGCAUCAUCUCAGAAGGCACUGAGACGGCAGAGGAAGUUGCUGCCCGGCUUAAGAUCCCUAUCAGCAAGGUUGAUGCCAGUGCUGCCAAAGCCAUUGUGGUGCAUGGCGCAGAACUAAAGGACAUACAGUCCAAGCAGCUUGAUCAGAUCCUCCAGAACCACCCUGAGAUCGUGUUUGCUCGGACCUCCCCUCAGCAGAAGCUCAUCAUUGUCGAGGGAUGUCAGAGGCUGGGAGCCAUUGUGGCCGUGACGGGUGAUGGGGUGAACGACUCCCCUGCGCUGAAGAAGGCUGACAUUGGCAUUGCCAUGGGCAUCUCUGGCUCUGACGUCUCUAAGCAGGCAGCCGACAUGAUCCUGCUGGACGACAACUUUGCCUCCAUUGUCACGGGGGUGGAGGAGGGCCGCCUGAUCUUCGACAACCUGAAGAAAUCCAUCAUUUACACCCUGACCAGCAACAUCCCCGAGAUCACGCCCUUCCUGAUGUUCAUCAUCCUCGGUAUACCCCUGCCUCUGGGAACCAUAACCAUCCUCUGCAUUGAUCUCGGCACUGACAUGGUCCCUGCCAUCUCCUUGGCUUAUGAGUCAGCUGAAAGCGACAUCAUGAAGAGGCUUCCACGGAACCCAAAGACGGAUAAUCUGGUGAACCACCGUCUCAUUGGCAUGGCCUAUGGACAGAUUGGGAUGAUCCAGGCUCUGGCUGGAUUCUUUACCUACUUUGUAAUCCUGGCUGAGAAUGGUUUUAGGCCUACUGAUCUGCUGGGCAUCCGCCUCCACUGGGAAGAUAAAUACUUGAAUGACCUGGAGGACAGCUACGGACAGCAGUGGACCUAUGAGCAACGAAAAGUUGUGGAGUUCACAUGCCAAACGGCCUUUUUUGUCACCAUCGUGGUUGUGCAGUGGGCAGAUCUCAUCAUCUCCAAGACUCGCCGCAACUCAGUUUUCCAGCAGGGCAUGAGAAACAAAGUCCUAAUAUUUGGGAUCCUGGAGGAGACACUCUUGGCUGCAUUUCUGUCCUACACUCCAGGCAUGGACGUGGCCCUGCGAAUGUACCCACUCAAAUGGAGUUUUGCUCUUAUUGCCCAGGCUGGAGUGAAAUGUCACAUUCUCGGCUUACUGCAACCUCCGCCUCCCAGGUUCAAGCGAUUCUCCUGCCACAGCCUUCCAAGUAGCUGGGAUUACAGGCACCUGCCAUCAUGCCGGGCUAAUUUUUUGUAUUUUUAGUAGAGAUGUGGUUUCACCAUGUUGGCCAGGAUGGUCUUGAACUCCCAACCUCAGGUGAUCCACCCGCCUCUGCCUCCCAAAGUGCUGGGAUUACAUGCGUGAGCCACCAUACCCGGCCUUCUUCCAACACAUUUCUAUGCAUGGCUGUACUCUGCUCACCUUUUCAUCCCUUGUAAUGUUUUACACCAUGCUUUAUACAACGCAGGCACUCAAUUAAUGUUUAAUAGGAGACAUUGGCACUGGCCUUAGACACUCACAGUCCAAGGUGGAAAUCUCAACUCUACUAUGUAUUAUUCUGUGGCCUUGGACAAGUAUGGAACCAUUCUGAGCCUCAGCUACACCUGCAAAGUCUCAAUAAUACGCUCCAAGUAUGGACCUUGCAGAGUGUUGUGAGAUUUACACGUAGAAAUGGGCAUAAAGCACCAAGCAUGCUUAGGUCAUGGUAGAUGCCUUGUUACUAGUAGCUUUAUUCUUGUUGUUAUUAAUGCGAUUAUAGACAUAAUAACAAAUGUGGUUGGUAUUAUCUAUGCUUUCAAACACUCUGUGUACACAUUAACCAUAAAACUUAGCACCU
rnacentral:sRNA from 1 species